ACCGCCGAAACCCCUUCUUCCCCGAGCCGCACACACCCGACACCUCCUUCCCCGAUUUCUCUUCAUCGUCGCUCGAACUCCUCUCCUCAUCUCACCAUCACCGACUCUUUUCUUCUUCUCUUCCGCCUGAGCAACACCGAGCCUCUUCCUCAUCCUUGUUGAGCUCGCGACGCUAGUGCCCUAGCUUCCGAUCCGCCGUCGAUCGAUCACCGUCCCUGUCGCAGCAUCGGUUGCUUCUUCCACGCGAGCACCACAACAGCCGACGAUCUCCCUCUCCUCUGCCUCAACUCGGCACCACAGCAACCACCAGCGGGUCUUCUUUGCGAAUCAUAACUGCCAUCUCGUGCCCUAGCUGAUCCUCUUCCCCGCUCUGACGCCGACAAGCUGCAAGCCCCAGCUCGCCGUGGCCUAGAUCUGUCUCUCAUCGCCGCACCUCCUCUCACUCGAACUCUCCUCUACGGUGGACACUGCCAUUUGCCGUGAGCAACCCACAUCGACGCCGACCCCUCUCCUCCCGAGUCGUGCCCUAACUGAUCCAGCAGGGUUCUUCCAAUGCUGUUUGGUGUUGCUGGAGAGGUCUAGAUACGUUGAGAUUUUGGAUCAAGAUCAUGAAGGAUUCGACUGGGCUAGUUGGUGUUUUGUUCCUUUCCUUGGUUCCUGAAAAGCUUGGAUAGGUUGUUGAGGACGUUGAUUUAGACGCUUGACGUGACGGGGCAUGAUUUGGUUCAGACUACAUAUUAAAGGCAGGUAAUAGGUAGAUGAGUCACGGAUGCUUGGAGAGAUGCCAGCUGCCAAUCCUGGACCCUGUGUUAUAUCGGUUUUAUUUCCGCUUUAUUUGUAUUUUUAGUAUACAACGUUUUGGUAUUGUAUGCAUUGGUCUGUGUUUGGAGUUUGAUUUAUAGUGUUUUGCUUUCAUGUUCUUGUGGUUGUGUAAGCCUAUUUUGGCUAGUAAAUUUUAGUUGUGGAUUGUGGGUUUUCUCUUCGUU